rnacentral:rRNA from 1 species
CCUACGGGAGGCAGCAGUAAGGAAUAUUGGUCAAUGGACGAAAGUCUGAACCAGCCAUGCCGCGUGAAGGAUUAAGGCCCUCUGGGUUGUAAACUUCUUUUAUCUGGGACGAAAAAAGGGUAUUCUUACUCACUUGACGGUACCAGAGGAAUAAGCACCGGCUAACUCCGUGCCAGCAGCCGCGGUAAUACGGAGGGUGCAAGCGUUAUCCGGAUUUACUGGGUUUAAAGGGUGCGUAGGUGGGCUUGUAAGUCAGUGGUGAAAUCUCCGGGCUUAACCCGGAAACUGCCAUUGAUACUAUAGGUCUUGAAUUAUCUGGAGGUAAGCGGAAUAUGUCAUGUAGCGGUGAAAUGCUUAGAUAUGACAUAGAACACCAAUUGCGAAGGCAGCUUACUACGGAUAUAUUGACACUGAGGCACGAAAGCGUGGGGAUCAAACAGGAUUAGAUACCCUGGUAGUCCACGCCCUAAACGAUGGAUACUCGACAUCAGCGAUACACUGUUGGUGUCUGAGCGAAAAGCAUUAAGUAUCCCACCUGGGAAGUACGAUCGCAAGAUUGAAACUCAAAGGAAUUGACGGCUGAGACGNGACGAGACGACACGAGGAGGAGG